UACGGAGGGUGCGAGCGUUGUCCGGAAUCACUGGGCGUAAAGGGCGCGUAGGUGGCCGAGCAAGGUUGCGGUGAAAGCCCGGGGCUCAACCCCGGGUCGGCCGUGGCAACUACUCGGCUUGAGCACUGUAGGGGCGGGUGGAAUUCCGGGUGUAGCGGUGGAAUGCGUAGAGAUCCGGAAGAACACCGGUGGCGAAGGCGGCCCGCUGGGCAGGAAGGCUCGCAAGAGCCGGCUGACACUGAGGCGCGACAGCGUGGGGAGCAAACAGG
rnacentral:rRNA from 1 species